UACGUAGGGGUCUAGCGUUGUCCGGAAUCAUUGGGCGUAAAGAGCUCGUAGGCGGUUCGGCAAGUCGGAUGUGAAAUCUCCACGCUCAACGUGGAGGGGCCAUUCGAAACUGCCGUGACUCGAGUCCGGUAGGGGAGUGCGGAAUUCCCGGUGUAGCGGUGAAAUGCGUAGAUAUCUGGAGGAACACCGGUGGCGAAGGCGGCAUCCUGGACCAUUACUGACGCUGAUGAGCGAAAGCCAGGGGAGCAAACGGG
rnacentral:rRNA from 1 species